CAAAAACCUCGAAAAACAAAAGUACAAAAAGAGGCGGAAUUCAAAUCUUUCAACUAAAUCGGAUUCUAAAAGCACAAUUCACGUCCGCGUUCCCCCCAGAACUGAUACUUCCUUUUACGGCUCUUUUGAUUUUUUUCGUGUUUUAUCUGUUUUGAGUUCGAUUUGGUUGUACUAUAUACAUAUAUUUGCGGCUUUACUCUCCUUUUUCUGUUACAUUUUAUAAUCUGGCUAUGGACUACGAGCCCUAUGAUAGCAGCGGAACGGAUGAUGAUCUACCUCCGUCACAUCAAAGUAGGAUUCCAAGAGGUGGUGGCCGCAUUGCUGGAAAUGGAAGAUCUGCUGUCAGAGGUUCUAUACCUCGCGCGAGGAUGUAUGGUGAAACUGACAUGGAGGCCCAAAUUCACCAGCUUGAGCAAGAAGCAUACAGUUCAGUUCUAAGAGCCUUUAAAGCUCAAGCUGAUGCCAUUACUUGGGAGAAGGAAAGCCUCAUAACUGAGUUAAGAAAAGAGUUAAGAUUGUCCAAUGAGGAACAUCGAGAACUUCUUGCUAGAGUAAAUGCUGACGAUGCUAUCCGAAGAAUAAGGGAGUGGAGGAAAUCUAGUGGACAUGAAUCAAGUAUGCUUGGUACUGGUCCAGCUGUUCAUGAUCCAAUGCCCAGUCCUUCUGUAUCAGCUUCAAGGAAGAAACAGAAGAUAGCCUCAUCUUUACCAUCUCACUCCUUUGCUGGACCAUCUCCUACUUUUCAUCAACCUGCUGGGACUGCUGCAAACCAGCCAUCUUCAUCCGCUGCUAAAAGAGGGCCUAUGAUGGGACCUAAGGGCAAAAAGCAUAAAUCUGGCCAGAUGAUGCCUGGUGCGUCUUCAGUGAAAAUGCAUAAUCCUUCCUCUGGUCCAUCUGGAAGAGGCCAAUUUGGUAACCGGGUUUCUGAAGCUGCUGAAGCUGCAUCAUCUGAUCCAUUGAUUGGAAGGAAAGUAAGAACUAGAUGGCCUGAUGACAAUAAUUAUUAUGAAGCGGUCAUAACUGAUUACAAUGCAGCUGAGGGUAGACAUGCUCUUGUUUAUGAUAGGGGUACUGCAAAUGAGAUGUGGGAAUGGGUCAAUCUUGCAGAGAUCUCUCCAGAGGAUAUCCAGUGGGAGGGUGAAGAUCCUGGAAUUUCUCGUCAUGGAAAUUACAGUGGAUUAGGGCGUUGCAUGAAUAGACCUGUUGGACGUGAUAGUGCUCCAGCUGCAGGUAGAGGUAGGGGUUUGCCUAAAGCUCAAUCCAGAAAAGAUUUUCUAUCAUCACAGAAUGGCAUAGCAAAGAAGAGAUAUGAUGAUAUUCAGCUACUUCACACUGAUACAUUGAUUAAAGAGGUGGAGAGGGUCUUUGGUGCUGUUCAUCCAGACCCUCAGGAGGUUGAGAAGGCAAAGAAGGUAUUGAAGGAGCAUGAACAAGCACUUCUGGAUGCUAUUUCAAGGCUUGGAGAGAUAUCUGAUGGAGAUAGUGUUGGAAAUUUAUCACCAGGAAGUGCCAUAAAACCAAGCUGCUGUCUCCUCCGCCUCCAAUAUCAUGUGCAGUUCAAUGCAUUCAUUUCGCUUCAAUCAAAUUCACAUACUGGCUGUGAUGUGUAUAUCCAAAAUACCACCAUCUUAGUGGACUUUUGUCUAUUACUGGCCAUUUCUUUGGUCAGCCAACCCUUCCCUCUGGUGGAAGGAUCAGCACAUUAUGUACAUUUUUAAGGUGAAAUAAGUAAGAAGUUUUUCAGGUUGUAACAGGGUUAAUGAUUGAGAUGGAUUGAUGGAGAAAUCAAAGCAGAAAACAUUAUGAGGCAGAGCAACUGGAUGUGUCUGUACCACAUAGAAAGUUAAAAUGCAUAGAUGAUUGGUCUUCCUCUGUUGCAUGUUGUUGUCAGUAGCUUUACUCGAGGAAGCACUAAAUCAUGUUCCUGUUGUCCUUCUUGGACUUACACAACCUAAAUAUCGCCCCAUGUGUUUGCAUAAAGAUGAACGGCAUUGCAUGCAUGGGCAAGCGAUGGAUCAGGAAUGAUAGACAGACAUCUCGUAAAUGGUAAUUAGCUGUGUAGAGCUGCUGUCACUUAACUAGCUGUGAAGAACUGCUGUCACUUAACUAACAGCCAAAUGGGCGGGGCGUAUAUAUUUUGUUGAUGGUCACCACUACGUUAAAACACCAGAUUAAUAUUAGUCUGUUGUAUAAUGCCUACUUCAGAAAAUGUAUGCUAACAAUAAGUUACUCUAGUUUAGAUUCUUAGCAUAGGCCAGUCUGUAGCUUGGUGAUUGUUUCCUGUAGUUGCAGGUUCUUGCCCUUGUAAAAUUAUCACAUUAGCAAUUAGCAUGUGAUCAUGUAAAUAGUUUUAUUAACAGCUGGUGCCUAAAUUAUGGCAUCCCUGUCUUUCUUGUGCUCAUUGGAAUCAUGACAAACAACUCAGUUGAA